rnacentral:rRNA from 1 species
CAACCUGCCGAUGACUCGGGAUAGCCUUUCGAAAGAAAGAUUAAUACCCGAUGGCAUAGUUCUUCNNCAUGGUGGAACUAUUAAAGAAUUUCGAUCAUCGAUGGGGAUGCGUUCCAUUAGGUUGUUGGCGGGGUAACGGCCCACCAAGCCUUCGAUGGAUAGGGGUUCUGAGAGGAAGGUCCCCCACAUUGGAACUGAGACACGGUCCAAACUCCUACGGGAGGCAGCAGUGAGGAAUAUUGGUCAAUGGACGAGAGUCUGAACCAGCCAAGUAGCGUGAAGGAUGACUGCCCUAUGGGUUGUAAACUUCUUUUAUACGGGAAUAAGUGAGGCACGUGUGCCUUUUUGUAUGUACCGUAUGAAUAAGGAUCGGCUAACUCCGUGCCAGCAGCCGCGGUAAUACGGAGGAUCCGAGCGUUAUCCGGAUUUAUUGGGUUUAAAGGGAGCGUAGGCGGACGCUUAAGUCAGUUGUGAAAGUUUGCGGCUCAACCGUAAAAUUGCAGUUGAUACUGGGUGUCUUGAGUACAGUAGAGGCAGGCGGAAUUCGUGGUGUAGCGGUGAAAUGCUUAGAUAUCACGAAGAACUCCGAUUG